AGAGUGAGGGAGGGUGUGACUAGUGACAGAGAGAGGGAGGGUGUGACUAGUGACAGUCACCCCUCCCUCACUCUGUCACUAGUCACCCCCUCCCUCACUCUGUCACUAGUCACCCCUUUCUUCCCUCACUCU